AGUUUGCUGAUUUCAGGCACUGGU
rnacentral:siRNA from 1 species